GCCAGGCGUGGUGGUGCGCACCUGUAGUCCCAGCUACUCGGGAGGCUGAGGCAGAAGAAUCGCUUGAACCCAGGAGAUGGAAGUUGCAGUGAGCCGAGAUCUCACCACUGCACUCCAGCCUGGGUGACAGAGUGAGACUCUGUCUCAA
rnacentral:SRP_RNA from 1 species